rnacentral:rRNA from 1 species
AGAGUUUGAUCCUGGCUCAGAACGAACGCUGGCGGCAGGCUUAACACAUGCAAGUCGAACGCCCCGCAAGGGGAGUGGCAGACGGGUGAGUAACGCGUGGGAACAUACCCUUUCCUGCGGAAUAGCUCCGGGAAACUGGAAUUAAUACCGCAUACGCCCUACGGGGGAAAGAUUUAUCGGGGAAGGAUUGGCCCGCGUUGGAUUAGCUAGUUGGUGGGGUAAAGGCCUACCAAGGCGACGAUCCAUAGCUGGUCUGAGAGGAUGAUCAGCCACAUUGGGACUGAGACACGGCCCAAACUCCUACGGGAGGCAGCAGUGGGGAAUAUUGGACAAUGGGCGCAAGCCUGAUCCAGCCAUGCCGCGUGAGUGAUGAAGGCCUUAGGGUUGUAAAGCUCUUUCACCGGAGAAGAUAAUGACGGUAUCCGGAGAAGAAGCCCCGGCUAACUUCGUGCCAGCAGCCGCGGUAAU